AAGAGUUAGGGUCUUCUAGGCCCGACCUCCCAACCCUAUGUUUAUCUAACCAAUGUUGCUUCGGCGGGCCCGUCUCCCAAGGACCGCCGGGGAACCGUAACACGUUCCCUGGCCCGCGCCCGCCGGUGGCCUUGAAACAAAAAUUCUUGAAUGAAUCGUGUCAUUGUCUGAGUAAAAACAUUAAUUAAAAGCAA
rnacentral:misc_RNA from 1 species